AUACUUAGCUGACAAGGGAGAUACCAUGAACACGAAGGAGCUUUUUUCCCUCCACUUGAGACUCAUUCAUUACAAUGUGGGUGUGCUGACCCAUGUAAUUUCCCCAAAUGUGGAAAAACUUGACUACAUAAUUUAUAAUGGAGGACUGUGUUCAUGCCUACUCCUG
ensembl:snRNA U1 U1 spliceosomal RNA